rnacentral:tRNA from 1 species
GGGCUGGUAGUUCAGCUGGUUAGAAUGCCGCCCUGUCACGGCGGAGGUCGCGGGUUCGAGUCCCGUCCAGCCCG